GAGUUUUUUGUGAGCUGCCUACCAGCGCUCACAAAAAACUCUGCGCCUGUGGUAAGGUUGUGUUACGUUAGAAACAUACUUGCAAUAUUAGCCAGUUACAUUUUGUGUGCAAACUGUAUUGAGAGUGAAGAUUAUGCUGCGAGGGACAAUUUGCUUGAAAGCAAAGAUUAGUCGAUAAAUUGACUUGCGAAUAUACAGCAUACCAGCUGUCAAAAACUGCUUCCGCAUUGGAAUGCAGUCACUCCAUCGGACCAUCAGCGAGGAUAAAAAAGAAGCCUUCGUGUCGACUGGUCGUGGAAAAGGCUACCGCGUACCGAUUAGAAAAGUUCGCGAAACAGAAACGCCCGCUUAAAAUACGGUUGGCAAAGAGUGUGACCGUGGGAGACAUCGGUCGGUGAUUAAAAUAAACCGUCGGAAUCGAAGUAAAAAUUAGCCACCACUCGGAAACUCAUCCACACGAGGGACCAUCCUCGGUGUCCCGGAAAAAACCAGCCACGAGUGAUUAACUGGUCCGCACAGCCUUCGCCGAAGGGAGCCGGCAUUUCUUUGGAGAGCCAUUCAGCUUAGGAAAACAAUUCAGAUUACCUGGACAAUCGGGCAUUGUGAAAAGCACCUUGAGAUUCUUCGGGACGUACUCGUCGCCCAAGCAAACUGCGUCACGAGAUUUAGCAGCAAGCAUCCCCUUCGUUGGAUCCGUAGGUCCACUGACGUCGAUCAUCCGGUAAUAGGAUCAGGAAAGGGACUCGAACACUAGGGCGUACGAAGGACGUGCUGAAGUUCCGAAUAGACCUGUUGGAACAACCCGACCAGCGAAACAAGAGAGCCUUACAAGUAGGUUGCAUAUACGGUUGGGUGACAAAAUGUCGAAAGACAAAAUGUCGAA